AAGUUGAGGGGUAUAUCAGACCCUUUUCCCUUAUUUUAUUAACUUUUUUACUAAUUAAACUGAAAAUCAAAUUGUUGAGAAAUAAUAUCAACUAACCAAAAACUAAUAAUGUUAUUUUAUUGUUUUAACUUUUAAUUUAAUAUAUUUAAAAAAAUAAAAAUUAAUAAAUUUAUCAAAUUAAUAAUAUAUAAAAUCAAGCUAAAUCGAUCCAUACAUUCCCCUAAUUUUAGCCAAGUAAAAUUAUCCUAACAGAAAACCCUGUUUUGCCUAUUGCAUAGUUAUUGUAGUGGAGUGGCAGACAAAAGCAUGUAGGUGUACGGCAUAAUAUAUUAGAGGAUAUACUUUUAUAUUAUCCGCGAUAAUUUUUUUAAGCAAUCUGAAUGGAAUUGUUAACUUUUUGAAAACAUCAGCUUCAAUUCAAAUCAAAUCAAAUAAAAAAGAAAUUUGAAAAUAUUUGCUUCAAAUCAUAGAGGUUAACAAAAAUAGAAAUAGAAAAAAGAUGAAAUAGACAGAAAAUAAAAUUUGAGCCCACAAAAUUUAUGGUGUUUUCUUAAAAAAUUUAAUCAUUUCAAGUAUUCGAGGUUACAAAUCAAUUCCUCCCAAGAUAAAACGAAUUAACUAUUAGAGAAGUGCAGUACAUCAAACUUCACUAAUUUCAGCAACAAGAGCAUUCACAAACUCAAUCGAUCAAUAAUUUUAUUUAUGUAAUAAAAUGUUUACAGAGAGGGAACAAAAUAACGUCUUUUCGGAAGGAACAAGUGCCUUCAGAACGAGGUUAUUCAAAGCCAAAUUCGAGCAAGCAACGAUGACAACAACGCGAGGGGAACCUUUUUCUUAACCCUUCAAGAACUAAAGGAAGUGAUUCCUAAUAUAAAGAUAACAAUUUUUCUUUCUUCUCUAUCAAUAUGGAAGAAAUUACUUUUCAUUUGCAAUUUACAAUGACUUUUAAUUUUCUCUCCAAAAUUGAUUCCCCACAUUUUUCAUUUUCUCUUUUUAUUUCUCAUUCACACCUUGCCAAAACCCAACAUAUUUUCCUGAUUGAAGUCAUUUAUUCAUAUUCAACUUGACACAUAAAAGUACUUACUCUAUCAAUAGUUUAGUUAUUGGUCUUGCUUACUUCCCGAACUAUUCAUCUUAGGCAUGCAUUGAUCAGUUGGUCUGCUUUAUACAUUAUCGAUUUGAUUUAUCAAUUUUAAUUUAUGAAUCGACUAAAUUGAUAAUUAAAUCAAUAAAAUAUUAUUUUAUUAUCAGUUUUUGUUUAAUCGAUUUCCAACAUAAUCGAUAAAAAAAUGUCGAAAUAAUCAUAUAUACAUAAUAUAUUUUUUCUUUUCUCUUAUAUUAGAAAGAGCUUAAUCAACAUGUCUGUUUCAUCUCCAUACAGUUCUAUUUUGUUUCCACGUGUCUGUGUGGUCAUCCAAUUUUUCUUAUACGUGGCUUCUAUUCUUGAGCUUUAUCCCUAUAAGCUUUCACGGAGAUCUCUACAGAUGAAGUCCAACUGCAACCCAGAUAGAACAACCCCUCCAUGUAAUACUCUUAAGCUGUGCAUGCAUAAGUGAAGUUAUCAGGCAUUAUUUCAGAAUGAAGCACAUCAUUAAACAGCGAAAAUGCAUUUCUAAAUUUGUGGGCUCUAGCAUAACCUCGAAUUAAGGAGUUCCAGAGGUAAAUAGUUCGGUGAGGAGUUUUAUCAAACAGUUUAUGUGCAGAGAUGACAUCGUUGUUUAGAGCAUUAAGGUACUUUUUUCCCCUCGGUUGUUUUUUCCUGUUUGUUCUCAAUUUUUUCAUUGAAUUGUGUUUGUGCAUAUAGAUGAGAGUUCCUACUUAGUAUCUGUCAACUCUAAUUUUUGGGUUCAUGAAAUUUUGAUUUUUAUGUUGGUAAGAACUUGAAUUAGGGCAAACAUUGAGAUAAAAAUCACCCUGUUGAUUCUCCAGAAUUAUAGUCAUUUGACUCACUAUUCACUUAUCAACAUUGUAACUGAAUCUGAAAAUUGUGUUUCUCAAUCAAAUUUGAUUUUAAUGUUUGUAUAUUUCUUUUCUAAAUUUGAAUUUUGUUAUUUAUUACCUCUCUGGCUCUCUUCCUCAAAUUAGAGGUUUUCCGAGAUAAAAAUAUUUGUACUACAUUUUAAUUUAUUUUCAAUUGAAGUGUAUAUAAGUUAAGCGGCUUAAAAAAUUAACCCAACUAUUAAUUGUUCUGAAUGUUUCAUGUAGGUUUCCGUCUCUGUUAUUAUGACUAACUUCAUGGAGUAUUAAUCUUUUAUUUGCUUUGAAUAUUAUUGUCUAUCUUCUUCAAUUUAUCUUUCUCUUUGAUUUUUUGUUACCUUGGAUUCAUAUGUUUGUCUAAAAUUUUUAUGACUGUUGUUGUGGUAAUCAGUUACUUCUCAUUCAAACAAUUUAUCCCAAUUCUACUUGUUUCACCUCUAUACAAGCUUACUUCUGGCAAACUGCUUGACCUUGGAUAAGGUUGCCUCUUGGUCGUCCUACUUCCUUUCCUCUCAUUCAUGAAAGGGCACUUAGUAGAACUGAGGAAGGAGUAGAGUUGAAGCUCUUAAUUAAGGACACAUUCAUGUAUGAUCCUUAUAUAAUAUUAUGCAGGGAUUGAAAAAAUCAAACACCACUUGGGUAAGCAAAUGUGUUCGUUAUAAACAGUUGCCUUAAUUAUUUAAGGUUACAUCAUACUUCGUCUAUAAAUUGUUUCUACGUAACUGCAUAAGUUGCUUGUUGUCGAUCUUUUUCUUUUACAUGCAAGGGAUGGAAAAUGGAGUUUGAGAACGUUACUUCACGUCAUAAUAUUUAUUGUGAAGGCAAAAUCUCUGAAUUUUCAUUCUGCUUUUAACUCAACCGGCGAUGCUUUCAGUUAGACCUCGCUCAUUUAUUAUUAUACUAUUGUGUGAAGGUACUUUUGCUGGAAUUAAUACCAUUUGACUUCCCAAGACAAAAGUUGCAAAACUUCUAAGGGUAUCUCCAUACCUUCAAAAUUCACAACCAAGAAUUGGAGGUGGAUGAGGGUGGAUGGAGCAUUAACCAAACAUUUUUGAAACCUCCCAUGAACAUAUGAAAGGCGUUAAGACAACCAAAGAUAUCAUUGUUGAAAAUAUUGAUUCAGGAAGACAUUGAUCCCGUUGUAGUUAUAUACGACCUGUUGAUAAAUGGGUGUUGUUUGCUAGGAUGUAUGCAUGAAACAAAAGAAAUGUGUUUCCAUUAUCAAAGGAAGAAAGUAGCCUAUAUAGUUAUGAGUUUGUAAGUAGCCUAUGUAGUUAUGAGUUUGUAAGUACUCUUUACAUGUAAGAUGAAGCUAUUUCCUAGUUCAGUGCAAAUCAUGUAUGAACUGGCUACAGAACUGAACAAAGCGUAGAGAUGAAACAAUUGUGGUUGUGAAUUUGUUGUUGGAGACGCAUAUUCUCUAUUUUGCAGGUAUAUGUAAAAAAAUAGCCAUAUAAUACCUUUUUUUUACGAAAAAUAAUAUUCAUUAUAAUUUAUGACAUUCACCAUCCAAAUAAAGAAGUUGUUUGCCAAAAACAAGGAUGCAUCUUCAGCAAAACUGUUUAUCAUGUCAAUCACCGAGAAAGAUAUUGCUAGCAAUCUGCCACUGCCCAUCAACGCACCAACAACUCCAGAAAGCAGUAAACGCAAGCUGAAGCAAAUCAUGAUAAAAGAAGACUAAAAGGUAUUCUCUCUUCACGACUUUCAAUUGCUAUGCAGCAAUAAAUGUUGUUUGUCCUAUUAAUUUUAAAACUAAUGCUUGCAUUUGUUGUUGGAUUUGUUUAUGAUGUUAUAUGUAAAUUCUGGGUUAGAUCUAUAUAGAAAAAUAUGUUUUUGAUGAUAUGCUAUGAUUAAAUUUUAUUCUUCUGGAAAUAUAACAAAUGUGGUUACAACUUGUAUCCCUAUUUAUUGCUGAAGGAAAUCUAUCAAAUCUGUUACAUUUGAUAGAUUAUUUGUAGAAACGGGAUGUGUGUUGCAUUAGAAAAUCUGUUUCAGUUUGAUUGCUGAUUGCUGAUAGUUUGGUAGAUUAGAACAUGGAGUCAAAUUUCAGACGUUGAGUUAGAGGUAGAAAUACGAAUUGAUGGGGAGUUUUGAAAUAUUUUGAAAUUGGGUUCUAAUAUCAAGUUGUCUGAUUUUGAUUUUCUGGAUAAGAUUUGAUACUCUCCUUUAGUUAUAGUGUAAUACUUUUUUGCAAUAUGGUUGGCAACACCAUUUUGUCUUGAUGGCGUACACUUUUGGUGCUGAUAGCAUGGGCUUUGAUGCAUUGUUAUAAGAAAUUGACAGGUGCUUUCUGAAUGACGCUGAUUAAUAGUCAAAAUACAGCAUUAUGUAAAUAUUGUAGAUAUCCAACCUAAAUAACACAGCCAUGACAAGGAACAAAACAACUGCCAACCAUAUUUCAUAUAUAUAUAUAUAUAUAUAUAUAUAUUCGACUCAUACAUUCUAUAUGUUUAUAUCUAACAAAAAUCUUUCAAUGUUGGGCCCGUGCAAGAACGGGCCACCUCUACCUAGUAUAUAAUAAAAGGAAGUUAAGCCGCUUAACCAGGCAGGAGGUCAACAUGCCUGUCUGGCAACUUUAGAGGAUAAUUUGGUAAUUUCAAAAACUUGAAAGCAUAUUAUUGGCCUAGCAGAAACUAACAUUAUCUAUUAAUGACAUACUUU